AACGAACGCUGGCGGCAUGCCUAACACAUGCAAGUCGAACGAGACCUUCGGGUCUAGUGGCGCACGGGUGCGUAACGCGUGGGAACCUGCCCUUAGGUUCGGAAUAACUCCCCGAAAGGGGUGCUAAUACCGGAUAAUGUCUUCGGACCAAAGAUUUAUCGCCUUUGGAUGGGCCCGCGUUGGAUUAGCUAGUUGGUAGGGUAAAAGCCUGCCAAGGCGACGAUCCAUAGCUGGUCUGAGAGGAUGAUCAGCCACACUGGGACUGAGACACGGCCCAGACUCAUACGGGAGGCAGAAGUGGGGAAUAUUGGACAAGGGGCGAAAGCCUGAUACAGAAAUGCCGCGUGAGUGAUGAAGGCCUUAGGGUUGUAAAGCUCUUUUAACCGGGAUGAUAAUGACAGUACCGGGAGAAUAAGCUCCGGCUAACUCCGUG
rnacentral:rRNA from 1 species